GUCCACGCCGUAAACGAUGGAUACUAGCUGUUGGUGGCAACUUCAGUGGCUAAGCGAAAGUGAUAAGUAUCCCACCUGGGGAGUACGUUCGCAAGAAUGAAACUCAAAAGGAAUUGACGGGGCCCCGCACAAGCGGUGGAGCAUGUGGUUUAAUUCGAUGAUACGCGAGGAACCUUACCAAGGCUUAAAUGUAGAUUGACCGUUUUGGAAACAGAACUUUCGCAAGACAAUUUACAAGGUGCUGCAUGGUUGUCGU
rnacentral:rRNA from 1 species